AUAUGAAUUCUUUAUGAAGGUAACGACGCGAUAUUGAAGGAGAACGAGUGAGCGAUAUCUUAGCUAAACGACCAAGGUAGACAGAGAGGAGAGCUUGGCCCAGAUCCUCAGUAGCAGUCAGCUGGUUGAAAGCACUCCAUUGUCCGGAGGUGCUUAGGAUUAUCCUUUUGGUAUAUAUGUAUAUUUUGGGCACGACGGAGUCUUGUUCCGUCCAUGUAUAUACAGUAUGUUAGUAGAGGCUCGUAGAUACGCAGUGUGGGUUAGAUGGUCUCACAAGACGUUUUCAUAUGCGUGUAUAUUAUUUUGAUGGCCGAAAGGCAAUUGUAUAUAAAGUAUUUAUGUUUGUUUAAUUA